AUACGUAGGUGACAAGCGUUAUCCGGAUUUACUGGGUGUAAAGGGAGCGUAGACGGAAGGCCAAGUCUGAUGUGAAAGCCCGCGGCUCAACUGCGGGACUGCAUUGGAAACUGGUCAUCUGGAGUGCAGGAGGGGUAAGCGGAAUUCCUAGUGUAGCGGUGAAAUGCGUAGAUAUUAGGAGGAACACCGGUGGCGAAGGCGGCUUACUGGACUAUAACUGACGUUGAGGCUCGAAAGCGUGGGGAGCAAACAGGAUUAGAUACCCUGGUAGUCCACGCGGUAAACGAUGAUCACUAGGUGUCCGUGGGUAUGACCCAUGGGUGCCGCAGCCAACGCAAUAAGUGAUCCACCUGGGGAGUACGUUCGCAAGAAUGAAACUCAAAGGAAUUGGCGGGG
rnacentral:rRNA from 1 species